rnacentral:rRNA from 1 species
CAGGAUGAACGCUAGCGGCAGGCCUAACACAUGCAAGUCGAACGGUAACAUGAGAGCUUGCUCUUGAUGACGAGUGGCGCACGGGUGCGUAACACGUAUGUAACCUACCUUUAACUGGGGAAUAGCCCGAAGAAAUUCGGAUUAAUACCCCAUAAUAAUAGAAAUUCGCAUGUUUUUCUAUUUAAAACUCCGGUGGUUAAAGAUGGGCAUGCGUCCUAUUAGUUAGUUGGUGAGGUAACGGCUCACCAAGACUUCGAUAGGUAGGGGUUCUGAGAGGAAGAUCCCCCACACUGGUACUGAGACACGGACCAGACUCCUACGGGAGGCAGCAGUGAGGAAUAUUGGACAAUGGACGAAAGUCUGAUCCAGCCAUGCCGCGUGUAGGAAGACUGCCCUCUGGGUUGUAAACUACUUUUAUAAGGGAAUAAACCCCCGUACGUGUACGGGGCUGAAUGUACCUUAAGAAUAAGCACCGGCUAACUCCGUGCCAGCAGCCGCGGUAAUACGGAGGGUGCAAGCGUUAUCCGGAUUUAUUGGGUUUAAAGGGUCCGUAGGUGGAAUUGUAAGUCAGUGGUGAAAUCUUUCGGCUUAACCGGAAAACUGCCAUUGAUACUGCAGUUCUUGAGUAUGCUCGAAGUAGGCGGAAUAUGUCAUGUAGCGGUGAAAUGCAUAGAUAUGACAUAGAACACCAAUAGCGAAGGCAGCUUACUAGAUCAUAACUGACACUGAGGGACGAAAGCGUGGGGAGCGAACACGAUUAGAAACCCUGGUAGUCCACGCCGUAAACGAUGAUCACUAGACAUUGGCGACAUACUGUCGGUGUCAAAGCGAAAGUAUUAAGUGAUCCACCUGGGGAGUACGCUCGCAAGAGUG